rnacentral:misc_RNA from 1 species
GAAGAACCUACAUAUACACAACAGAGGUAAACAGAUCUCAUCGAAAACAUAUAGAAAGAAUCAAAACCCAAGAAGAAAUGGCGGAGUUGUUUGUUAAGCAAGCAAAGCAAUACGCAGAGGGCAGGCCUAAUUACCCAGAAGAACUCUUCCAAUUCAUUGCCUCCAAGAAUCCUGCUAAAGACCUUGCUUGGGAUGUGGGCACCGGCAGCGGCCAGGCAGCCCAAUCUCUAGCUGAGAUCUACCAGAAUGUUAUAGCCACAGAUACUAGCCUGAAGCAACUGGAAUUUGCACCAAAAAUUGCCAAUGUUCGGUAUCAGCAAACUCCUCCUGUCAUCCCAAUUGACGAAUUGGAGCAAUAUGUGUCAGCACAAUCAAGUGUAGAUUUGGUGACAAUUGCUCAAGCCCUCCAUUGGUUUGACCUGCCUGCGUUUUACCAGCUAGUGAAGUGGGUGCUCAAGAAACCAAAUGGAGUAAUUGCUGCCUGGUGCUACACUGUGCCUGAAGUUAAUGACUCCGUGGACUCUGUCUUCAAACCAUAUUAUGCCAUUGAUUCUGAGCCAUAUUGGGAUCCAGUACGUAAAUUGGUAGACCAAAAGUAUGCAACCAUUAAUUUUCCAUUUGAGCCAGUGGAGGGAACUGAUCACACAGGGCCAUUCAGGUUUGUAUCUGAGAAAGUGAUGAGCUUGGAUGAGUAUUUUACUUACCUAAGGUCAUGGUCUGCAUAUCAAACAGCUAAGGAAAAAGGUGUGGAUCUAUUGAGGGAUGAUGUGGUUGAGAAGUUCAAGAAUGCCUGGAAUGAAGAUGGGCAAGACAGAAAGGUUGUUAAGUUUCCUAUUUAUUUGAAGAUUGGAAAGGUGGGGAAUUUGUAAAGAUAUAUAGCAAGCCAAUUGGUUCACUGCAUAAGAAAUAGCAGGAAUUGAAAAAUGGAAUUGUUGUAUCAAUUCCAUUUUUGUCUUUCUUAAUGUUUGAUGUGAUCAUUUUCUUUGUCCUUGUUUUGAUGAAAAGUGGCUAUUUUCCCUUUCUUCUAUCUAUACUAGCAAACUCCACUGCUUUGCACAUAGUUAUUGUUAAUGCUUUUUUUUUUUUUUACAAACUAAAUAUAAAAU